UCACUCUUCUUGAGUAGGCCAUAAUCCA
rnacentral:piRNA from 1 species